CCUACGGGAGGCAGCAGUGAGGAAUAUUGGUCAAUGGGCGCGAGCCUGAACCAGCCAAGUAGCGUGAAGGAAGAAGGGUUUCGGCUCGUAAACUUCUAUCAACAGGGACGAAAGAAAUGACGGUACCUGAAUAAGAAGCCCCGGCUAACUACGUGCCAGCAGCCGCGGUAAUACGUAGGGGGCAAGCGUUAUCCGGAAUUACUGGGUGUAAAGGGUGAGUAGGCGGCAUGGUAAGCCAGAUGUGAAAGCCUUGGGCUUAACCCGAGGAUUGCAUUUGGAACUAUCAAGCUAGAGUACAGGAGAGGAAAGCGGAAUUCCUAGUGUAGCGGUGAAAUGCGUAGAUAUUAGGAAGAACACCAGGGGCGAAGGCGGCUUUCUGGACUGAAACUGACGCUGAGGCACGAAAGCGUGGGGAGCGAACAGGAUUAGAUACCCUGGUAGUC
rnacentral:rRNA from 1 species